GGAGAGGUGGCCGAGUUGGUCGAAGGCGCACGCCUGCUAAGCGUGUGUGGGGCUAAAAACCCCACCGAGGGUUCGAAUCCCUCCCUCUCCG
rnacentral:tRNA from 1 species